GUGGGGAAUCUUGCGCAAUGGGCGAAAGCCUGACGCAGCCAUGCCGCGUGGAUGAUGAAGGUCUUAGGAUUGUAAAAUCCUUUCACCGGUGAAGAUAAUGACGGUAGCCAAGAAGGAAGCCCCGGCUAACUUCGUGCCAGCAGCCGCGGUAAUACGAAGGGGGCUAGCGUUGCUCGGAUUUACUGGGCGUAAAGGGCGCGUAGGCGGACAUUUAAGUCAGGGGUGAAAUCCCGGGGCUCAACCUCGGAACUGCCUUUGAUACUGGGUGUCUUGAGUAUGAGAGAGGUGUGUGGAACUCCGAGUGUAGAGGUGAAAUUCGUAGAUAUUCGGAAGAACACCAGUGGCGAAGGCGACACACUGGCUCAUUACUGACGCUGAGGCGCGAAAGCGUGGGGAGCAAACAGGAUUAGAUACCCUUGUAGUCC
rnacentral:rRNA from 1 species